AGAGUUUGAUCCUGGCUCAGAGUUAACGCUGGCAUCGUGCAUAACACAUGCAAGUCGAACGGGACUUAGUUUGUAGCUUGCUAGUAGACUAAGUUUAGUGGCAGACGGGUGAGUAAUGUAUAAGAAACCUACCUCUGAGUGGGGAAUAACAGUCCGAAAGGAUUGCUAAUACCCCAUAACAUAAUGAAAAGGCAUCUUUUUUAUUAUCAAAGAUUUUAUCGCUUGGAGAUGGUCUUAUAUUCUAUCAGCUAGUUGGCAGUGUAACGGACUACCAAGGCGACGACGGAUAGCCGGCCUGAAAGGGCGACCGGCCACAAGGGCACUGAGACACGGGCCCUACUCCUACGGGAGGCAGCAGUGGGGAAUUUUGGACAAUGGGCGAAAAAGCCUGAUCCAGCAACGAUGCGUGGAGGAUGAAGGUUCUCGGAUUGUAAACUCCUUUUGUAGGGGAAGAAAAAAUGACGGUACCUUACGAAUAAGCCACGGCUAACUACGUGCCAGCCGCCGC
rnacentral:rRNA from 1 species